AAGAUUGUAAUUGUUGGAACUUAUGAUAAAAAAUGGAGGAAAACUUGUUUCUAAAGUUUAGAGAGAAUUGAAUUGAAUAGGGAAGAAACUGAAAAUUCAUUGAUUUCGCCUUGUAAACAAACAAUUACAAUAGCCAUUAUAUAGGCCACAAACUAACAUAACAACCUACAGCUGUCAAACUAACUAACUAACAAAACUGUCAAAACAGUUAACCCUUGGAACCUGACCAACAAACACAAUUAAGAUUGAAAUACAACAACUAAUACACCUCCUUAUUACAAUCUUAAUUUGUAAAGUCCAUUCCUAACUUCAUCUUCAAUUCCUCUAAUGUGCUAGUCUUCAAAGCUUCCCAGUUUAUUGAGAUACACUAUGUUAUUCUUCCUUGAUAUGCCACCUUCCCAGUUCCAACUCUUUGAUUCAUCAAACUUCACAUCCUUGCUGAACAUAACCCUUUUUCCAAUCGGAUCAUACAAUUUGUAUGAACCAGUUGAGUGAUAACCAACCAUUAUCACAACAUGUGCCUUGUCAUCCAACUUCUUUCUUAACUGAUCCGGUAUGUGUCUGUAGCACAAUGAACCAAACACCCUCAGAUGCUUCACACAUGGUUUGAUCCCUGACCAAGCUUCUUCUGGUGUGACAUUAUCUAACCUCUUAGUUGGACACCUGUUUAACAAGUAAGCAGCAGUAGAAGUUGCUUCACCCCAUAGAUAGUGAGGCAAUCCCUUCUCCUUAAUCAUGCUUCUCACCAUAUUCACAAUGGUUCUAUUCUUUCUUUCUGCAGUACCAUUAUGUUGUGGUGUGUAAGGGGCAGUUAUCUCAUGUUUUAUGCCAUUUGAUGCACAAAAUGACUUAAACUCAUUUGAUGUAUACUCUCCACCACCAUCAGUUCUAAUCUUGCUAAUGACUUCACCACUUUCAUUUUGAACAAUUAUUCUGAACUUCUUAAACACAUCAAAUACUUCACUCUUUUUAGCUAUCAUGUAUAUCCAUAGUUUUCUAGUGAAUUCAUCUAUGAAUGAAACAAAAUAGCUAUUACCUCCCAUUGAUUUUUCUUCAAAAGGACCACAAACAUCUGAGUGAAUUGCUUCUAAUCUUCUUGUAGCUCUACUAGGUAUCUCAGUGUUGUAAGAAUUCCUUGACUGCUUAGAUAUGCAACACUUGUCACACACUUGAUCUGAGACCUUGAUUUGAGGCAAGCCAUUCACCAUAUUCUUUCUCUGCAGUAUGCUCAAAUCUUUGAAAUUCAAGUGUCCAUAUCUUUGGUGCCAUAUCCAAUCCUCAUUACUAGCAGUGGCUAAGAGACAAUUGCCAUCAAUCACAUUUAACCCAAUUUUGAAUGUCCUUUGCUUUGUCAUUGGAGCUUUCAAAAUCAGUCUUGCUAUCAAAAACUCUUAAGACUUUGUCUUCCAUCUUUACAACAUAAUUCUUUUCUAACAGUUGACCAAUGCUUAUGAGAUUACUCUUCAUUGUUGGAACAUAGAGAACAUCAGAAAUUAGUGCAUCCUUUCCAUCUUUACUUCGUAUUUUGAUUUUCCCUAUGCCUUCAGCUCUAACACUACUAUCAUCUGCAAACCUUAUUCUUCUGUUUACAGUCUCAUCUAGUUCAUAGAACCAAGUCCUCUUCCCACUCAUGUGGUUUGAGCAACCUAUGUCUAAAUACCAUUUGUCAUCAUCUUCUUCUUCUUUGAUGACAGCCAUAAGCAUUGAACUUUCAGGAUCUUCUUCUUGUUUGUCAUAGACAAACUUGGCUUCAUCAGUUUUCUCUCUUGGAACUUUCUUUGAUUUGCACUCAGCUGCAAAAUGACCCCACUUCUGACAAUUAUAGCAUUGUAUCUCUUUCUUGUUGAAUUUCUUCUUCUGACCAUUGGUAUUUUCUUGUUGAUUGGAAUCUUGAUUCUUACCAUUGCCUUCAUUUGAAUUCUUUGAAUUCUGGUUCUUUCCCUUCUUGUUAUACUGAGCUUGCAGAGCUUGAUCAUUUGAAUCUUCACUUUGUUUACCAUUGUUCUUGCUUCUUUCAGUCAAUCUCAAUUCAUGGGCUUCAAGUGAAGCUUGAAGUUCCUCAAACUUCAAUUCUUCAAGAUUCUUGGAUUCUUCUUUAGCGACAACAAUAUGAUCAAACUUUGGAGUUAGUGUUCUCAACACCUUCUCAAUCUUCAUCAAAUCAGUUAUGGUUUCACCAUUUCUAACCAUUUGAUUUGUCAAGCUAGUUAACCUCACAAAAUACUGACUCACAGUUUCAGAUUCAUUCAUUUGCAGCAAUUCAUAUUGUCUUCUUAGGGAUUGUAAUCUAGCCUUUUUCAAUUUCUCAUCACCUCCAUAGUUUCUUGCCAACGUAUCCCAUGCUUCUUUUGCACUUUCACAAUGCAAAAUCUUCUCAAAGAUGUCUGCAUCCAGACAUUGAUGAAUGAUAAACAGGGCUUCACCAUCUUUCUUCUUCGAUUCUUUAUGCACAGCGUUUUGUUCAUCGUUUGUGUUUCUUGGCAAUGCAGCAACUCCAUCAUUCACAAUUUCAACCACAUCUUGUAAUCUGAAUAUCACUUUCAUCUUCGCGAUCCAUUGAUCAUAGUUCUUGCCAUCAAAUAUUGGUAGGUGUGCUGGAAAACCAUUAUUUGAUGAUGUUGCCAUCUUUCACAGAUUCUACAACAAUCUUUCUUCAAUCUUGAACCAAAGAACCAGGCUCUUGAUGCCAAUUCUGUUGGAAUGUAUGAUCAAAAAUGGAGGAAACCUUGUUUCUAAAGUUUAGAGAGAAUUGAAUUGAAUAGGGAAGAAACAGAAAAUUUAUUGAUUUCACCCUGUAAACAAACAAUUACAAUAGCCAUUAUAUAGGCCACAAACUAACAUAACAACCUAAAGCUGUCAAACUAACUAACUAACUAACAAAACUGUCAAAACAGUUAACCCUUGGAACCUGACCAACAAACACAAUUAAGAUUGAAAUACAACAACUAAUAGUAAUGAGACAGAGAAAGUACGUAGUAUUUUAUUUUGGAUUAACAUGUUUGUGUAAACUAUAUGGGUAUUUAAACCCUCAUCUAUAGGUAUCCUUUUGUUGUGACAAGUGUGUGGUAAGUUAAGUCCCGCAUUGCUUGGAAAAGUGGAGGGUUGAACACUUUAUAAGUGAGAGGACUCAUAAACUUAAUGCCUUAAGGUUUUGGGUAAAGAUGUGGUGUCCAACUCACUUGUAUGGUUGCUCUUGGACCAAUGUGGAUGAUCCCCUGACUGCCCCCUCAUGACCCAACACUUUUGGGCAGGCCAUUUAUUAAUUGAAUAUAGUUGUGAAGUGUCUUAGGUGUGACUGCCAUGCAUUUAAUCUAUGCUAGUUGCUAGAUCAUUUUGAAGAUGUUUCUAAUCCCAG
rnacentral:lncRNA from 1 species